GUUCAUCUCCUAGCGCAGCAUUAAGGACAUAAUCCUUCUUUCCAGCUUGUAAGAUUAGCUUAAGAUUACGAGCCCAGUCUACAAAGUUGCUUCCAUAAUCUUUCAACUUAGCUUUCUCUAGGAACGUAUUAAAAUUCAGGAUGACACUUGCGUGAGCCAUGAUCUACAACACAAAUAUAUUCAAAGUGGACUUAGACUAUGUUCAAG
rnacentral:lncRNA from 1 species